GAAUUUUAUAUAUUAAUAUAAAAUAAAUUUAUGUUAGUAUAUUUUAUUGGGAGGAUAUUUAAAUUGAUAAAACUUUAAUUACAGAAUUACAUAAGUUAGUGAUUUAUAAUGAAUGAGUAGAAAUUUUAUUAAGAAUUAAUUACCUUAGGGAUAACAGCAUAAUAUUUUUUUGUAGAACUUAUAUAAAAAAAUGAUUAUGA
rnacentral:rRNA from 1 species